CACCGGGAGCCCCGGCCCGACCCGGCCGAGGUUCGGCCCCAAGGCGGCGACACAGCACUCCGCCCGCGGCGCGCUCUCGGCGCGGGGCCGACUCCAGCUUUGUCUCGCGAGGGGACCCCUCGGCCGUGGGCCGCGCCGGGCCUCCCGGCGGCGCCGGCUGCUUCUCUUCGCGCCGCGACAGGCCCCCCCCCCACCGGACCAGACCAGACCAGACCAGACCAGAGGCGGCGUCUGGACGAGAGCGGCGGGCGGACGGAGCUUGCAGUGCUCGCAGCUGCUGUUUCCAGGAUGUCCUUCUCUGUCAGGCUGCAAUCUCCAGGACAAAAAGCCCACAGGACUUUUGCUCAGUGGAGCUCAGUCUGCAGAAACACUCUGUCAUUUGCAGCUGUUUCCUUGCCGCCGGGUUAGCUCUGGAGUCCCCAAAGAGUCAGAUGGGAUGAGAAGACUCGCUGUUCCCCAGGCACCUGGGAACUGCUGCCAGGGGACAAUAAAGCAGGAUGCAAGUUGGAUUCCUAGCAGAUUUUUAAACAUUGAAUAAAGGAUUUUAUUAACAUUACCCAUAAUUCCAAAUUUCCUGAGACCCCAUGCUCCUGUGUGGCCAGUCAGUGAUGCUCCAAGCGUGGGGGUACACAGGUAACCGGAAAACCCCAAACCUUCGCCAGGGUCCCCCAGUGGAGGCUCUCUUCAUGGCCCUCUCGCCCUUAUGACUGUGGGGACUGGCGUGCUGCACCCAACACACACAGCCCCACCCGAUGGUCGUCACGGAUCCGCCCUGCCACCUGCUCCCGGUGAGGACCA
rnacentral:lncRNA from 1 species